rnacentral:rRNA from 1 species
GGCAACCCUGACGGAGCAACGCAGCGUGUGGGAGGACGGCCUUCGGGUUGUAAACCACUUUUCUCAGGGAAGAAGUCCUGACGGUACCUGAGGAAUCAGCCUCGGCUAACUCCGUGCCAGCAGCCGCGGUAAUACGGAGGAGGCAAGCGUUAUCCGGAAUUAUUGGGCGUAAAGCGUCCGCAGGGGGCGCAUCAAGUCUGCUGUUAAAGGUCGGAGCUAAACUCCGGUAGAGCAGUGGAAACUGGUGCGCUAGAGGGCGACAGGGGUAGAGGGAAUUCCCAGUGUAGCGGUGAAAUGCGUAGAGAUUGGGAAGAACACCGGUGGCGAAAGCGCUCUACUGGGUCGCACCUGACCCUGAGGGACGAAAGCCAGGGGAGCG